rnacentral:rRNA from 1 species
CUGGGAAACUGCCUGAUGGAGGGGGAUAACUACUGGAAACGGUAGCUAAUACCGCAUAAUGUCGCAAGACCAAAGUGGGGGACCUUCGGGCCUCAUGCCAUCAGAUGUGCCCAGAUGGGAUUAGCUAGUAGGUGGGGUAACGGCUCACCUAGGCGACGAUCCCUAGCUGGUCUGAGAGGAUGACCAGCCACACUGGAACUGAGACACGGUCCAGACUCCUACGGGAGGCAGCAGUGGGGAAUAUUGCACAAUGGGCGCAAGCCUGAUGCAGCCAUGCCGCGUGUGUGAAGAAGGCCUUCGGGUUGUAAAGCACUUUCAGCGGGGAGGAAGGCGAUGAGGUUAAUAACCUUGUCGAUUGACGUUACCCGCAGAAGAAGCACCGGCUAACUCCGUGCCAGCAGCCGCGGUAAUACGGAGGGUGCAAGCGUUAAUCGGAAUUACUGGGCGUAAAGCGCACGCAGGCGGUCUGUCAAGUCGGAUGUGAAAUCCCCGGGCUCAACCUGGGAACUGCAUUCGAAACUGGCAGGCUAGAGUCUUGUAGAGGGGGGUAGAAUUCCAGGUGUAGCGGUGAAAUGCGUAGAGAUCUGGAGGAAUACCGGUGGCGAAGGCGGCCCCCUGGACAAAGA